rnacentral:tRNA from 1 species
AGCCGAGUAGCUUAAUAGGUAAAGCAACUUUUACAGGUAAAGUAAGAUGAAAAUUCGAUUCUUUCCUCGGCGG